GCAGAGAACAACUGAAUAGAAAUGAAGAUUUGAGGAGUGUCAGAGCAACAGCAGUGUAUUGAGAGCCUUGUGAUUGAGCUGUGCAUCCAGAAGCCAGACCAGUUGCAAGAGAGGGAGCGGUCAACACUACCCGGAACAGCCUCCUGGACCCAAGGCAUCUGCAGGUGCCACUGUCCUAUGGAUGAGUUCCAGCACAAACCCUGGAGCAGACCAUCCACAGCUGGGUCCAGGAGGACUUGCAGCUGCGUCGGGAGACCUGGCGGGAGCUGCUUGCGCAGGGCUGCCCCAUGUGCGUGAAUGUGCACUCCCUUGUGCUGAGCAUUAUGCCUCUUCCUGCUCUAGCCUCUGCUCCUGUUCCUGCUGUAGCUUCUCCUCCCACUCCCUCUCCCCCUCCUGCUUCUCCCUCAACA